UUUUAUUUACUAAUUAUACUGUUCAGAAAUUCCCACUGGAAGUGACAUAGUCCUUUUAGGACCUGUGAACAAAACCGUUAACAACUUUCUAUGCAGUCCAAAAUAAGCAGAAGAGAACACUUUUUUUUUUCUCAAGGUUUAACAUAGGGAGCCAGACAAGAUGCCUGUGCAAAAGGCUACCAGUGAGAUGGUAAGAUUUUUAAGAUUGGAUGUGAGUAAACAAAUGUAUUCAUUAAGAACUACGGGUUACUACUUUAUUAUAUCCUAUUGGAAUGUAACUCUAGGAGGGUAGGGAGUUUUGUUUUUCACUAAUAUAACCUCAGUGCCAGAACAGUACCUGGAGCAGAGCGGGCAUUUGAUACAUACCUUUUCUGAGUGUAUAAAUGAAUCCCAAAGCUAAAUAUGUAGUAAGUUGUCUUUUAUAAAUCUUAGUGGUUUGCUUUUUUUCAGAUGGUCAUAUAAGAAAAUUUUUUUUACAUUGAAAAUGUAAUAUUUAAAAAUACCUUUUCAAGCCAAGAUUAUUAUUCUCAUUUAAAAUACAUUUUUUUUAAAUUGUAGCUCAGCAUCUCCUUUUUCUACAAUAUCAUGUUAUUAAGUGUUCAUCAAAAUACCACAAGGUGGCAUACAAAACCUCAAAAAGACAUUUCUGAAAUUCUGUCAAAAUUUUACUACAUACUUAAUAGAAAAACCUCCCUAAAAUCCAGGCAAGAGACCCCCAGCCCUGGACCCUUUGCUUGAGGGCUAGGUUCUAUGCCACUCUAGCAUACAUCCCUACCUACAGGGUGAGAACACCACAGAGCCCAGGGGCAUGUCCCUCCACACCUGGAAAACCUCUUCCAAGGCCUUGCCUUUCUGCUCCAUCCCAGGAGGACAGAUGAAACUGAAGAGCACAUUCCAAAAGUCUGGACUGCUCAAGCAGCACCUCUGCAGGAGCUGGGGUGGGUUGUCCUUGGGAGAUGGCACUGGGACAAGGAGGGCUCUCGGAGUCCAUCUCUCCCUGCUUUGAACUCCUUAGUGCAGGGCUUGAGGAGUCCAAGAAUCCUGGGAACCUUAAGAAGGCAUGUUUGCCAAGGUAGGAACAGUUUGUUAGUGUGAUUUAUGACUUCUGAUGAUUUUGAUUAUUUAUGACCUCCAUUUUCAGUGACCGGGCCCUGCAAACAUUAGAAUCAGGGCUGUGGUAUAUAAUUUGUUGAUAUUUUUGUGUAUAUUUGCUUACUUACAAUCUGUACUUGGAAUCUCUGCAUUAGAAUUCUGAAAUUUCAGUAACAAAAUCAGUGGCUUAUUUGAAUGGCUUGUAUUGGCUAUUUAUCAGGGGGUAAAAACAACUUUCAUCAAAAUGGCCUACAAUGGAAUUUGUAAACAAAUGUUAAGUACAGCAGCUAUUGCAGCUUUCUACCACUACUUCAGUUUUCCUCCUUCCAGGAAAUAGAGUAGGACUGUACUUACCUAUCCCUUGGUGUCAGUUGUGGCUAUGCAGCUAGUUUUGUUGUUGUUGUUGUUGUGUUAAAACUCUGGUUUAGAUUCUUCUUCUAAUAAUUUUGAGAUGCAACUCUCAGAUCAUAAAAUUCAUCCUUUUAAAAGUGUACAAUUCAGUAGAUUUUAGUAUUUUCAGUUAUGCAAGUAACACCAUUAACUUUACAACUUUUGUACCAUUGUCACAAAAAGCAACUGGUACCCGUUGGCAAAGUAUGACUAGGUUUGACCAUUGCAAUUUGAGUAUGAAGGUUGUGCGUCACGCUCAGCAAGUCUUUUCACAGCUAGUGGUAGGUUCCCCACAUUCUCCUCUUGCCAUGGUGGGUGGUGUAUUCCAUAAACGAGACUCUAUCAGCCUGCAUCUUGGAGGAUAAAAACAGAGCCAAGCUCUUAACAAACCAAGAACGUGGCUAAGAGUUUCACUGUGUUGAGUCACUAAGAUCUCGGGGUUCUCCGUAAACACAGCAUAGUAUGGCCCACGUGCACUGGAUUAAUGAUCUGAUCAGAAAUCAGAGAGAAUUUUUCAAAAGUGCUUAGAAAUUGUAAUUAGAAAAUGACUCACUACUCAUUACCGUCUUACAAUGAAAAAGAGGCUGAUUUUGAAUGAUUAUUGAAGGAAAGCCACUUCAUCUGAGCUAAGAAAAGGACACUUCGCCAAAUAUAUUUACCAUCGAGGAUCCAAUAUAACUCCAUCACGAAUUUUGGUCUGCUGAUGGGAAUGUGAUAGUUACCACUAUUUGAGACAACUAUGCUUUAAGGUUUCUUUUGGAAUCCUACCUGUAAUUUACUUGGUCUCUGGCAUAAGAUAAAACUCCAGAAUGAAUUUUUUUUCUUUCAAUCGUUUAUCUUUUAGCCUGUGUUAAACAUAAUUUAAUCUUUCUUAAGUGAGUAAUUGCAGUAUCUCAGGUCUCUAUUUUCAGUAUCCCAUCACUGUUCAGCAUGGUUGACAUAUAAAAUGAGAUAUUCUGUAGAUCUUAAGGUAUGUUCUAUUGUUUUUAAAAGAUAUUAUUUAUUCAUGAAACACACAGAGAGGCAGAGACAUUAGGCAGAUCAUAAAAUCCAUCCUUUUAAAGUGUACAAUAUAACGUGUAAAGCAGGCUCCCUGUGGGGAGCCCGAUGUGGGACUCGAUCCCAGGACUCCAGGAUCACAGCCUAAGCCAAGGUAGAUGCUCAACCACUGAGCCAUCCAGGUGCCCCUGCUCUAUUAAUAAUGCUACUAGCAUAGUUUAGGUUCCCAUUACUCAUCAUCAUUGCACAAUCAUAUCAACUAAUCCCCAUUCUUUUCUUCUCUUCCUCUAAUCUUUAUUAGCUGCCAGAUUAAAAAUCCUAAAACGUAGUUCUGCUCAUGACUUUUCCCUAUACAAAAACCUUCAGUAGAAGCUCUUGGCCGGCUCAGUGAAGCAUGUGACUCUUCAUCUUGGAGUAGUGAGGUCAAGCCCCAGGCUGGGGGAAGAGCUUACAUAAAAAAAAAAAAAAAAAAAAAAAA
rnacentral:lncRNA from 1 species